rnacentral:rRNA from 1 species
UACGUAGGGGGCGAGCGUUGUCCGGAUUUAUUGGGCGUAAAGAGCUCGUAGGCGGUUUGGUAAGUUGGAUGUGAAAUCUCCAGGCUCAACUUGGAGGGGUCAUUCGAUACUGCCAUGACUAGAGUUCGGUAGGGGAGUGUGGAAUUCCUGGUGGAGCGGUGAAAUGCGCAGAUAUCAGGAGGAACACCGGUGGCGAAGGCGACAUCCUGGACCGGUAUUGACGCUGAGGCGCGAAAGCCAGGGGAGCAAACGGG